rnacentral:lncRNA from 1 species
UUGGAUCCAAGUAGAUGCUAGUCGUACAGUCCACGCGGAGUGGGUACGACAGGCCAGUCGCGAGAGUGUUAGUGAGAUUCCGACUGGUGGGUGACCUUAGAUUAUGUGCACAGAUGAUUUAUGAGAAGCACUAGAGCGUAACUUGUGUGCAGAAGGCCGUACAGGUCACGCGGAGUGACUCCGGCAGAGUGUGAGAGUGAUAGAUUUUGAGCUCUAGGUUCAACCGGGCUAAUAGAGGGCCUCCGGUUGAUUAUCUUAUUGCACCUGAUAUGAUUUAUGUUGAUGCAUUCAUACCUUAUUACUGUUGAGAUGAUGUGGCAUGGCAUAAUUAAUAUGAGAAAUGUUGAGAUGAUGUGGCAUGGCAUAAUUAUGAUGAAAAUGUUGAGUUAAUGAAUUGAAGUAUUGAGAAUAUAUAUAUGUAUAUUUAUAUUUUAUAUUUCUGGGAAAGUAUACAGGUUUUACGGAGAGGGGUUACAACGUUUUGAGAAAUGUUUGGAUUUGGAAAAGAAUUGUUUUACUGACCCACUCAAUUUUGGUUUUGCGCCCCUCCAGGUUCAGGAAUCAUAAAGGUGUGGUGACUACGAGGAAAUUGACGGUGUUCUGACAGAUUGGACAAAAUUAGGACUCACCUUCGGGUGUAUCAACUUAUAAAUUGUAUCUUAAAGCUUCCGUACUGUGCAAAUGGUUACGUCACUCUCACGUGACGGCCAGCAUGCCCUCCUUCGGGACGGGGUGUGUCAGUUGGUAUCAGAGCAUGGUUGCAAUCUUGGACAUCUUGAGAAGUUCUAGUGAAUUCUGUCAGAACUACACCGCCUCGUAGUAAGCCACUUAGUUAGAGGAAUUUAGUCUCCCUAAUAUAGCGGUUUAGGGGAAACUAUUAUUAUGGUGAUUCAGUCUAUUAUAAAAAGGGACAUUUUAAGACGGGUUAUGAGUCGAAUUUGAAUCACCUUAUGGAAUGAUGAACCUGAGGGAGCGAAGUAACGGUUUAACCAUUUGGAAAAGAUGUUUCAGAUUAUGCAAGUUAAAGGAAAUUUCCUUCUGACAAGGGGUCGAGACGACUACCUGGUUUUGGGUAUGAAUUUGUAUCCUGGUGGAAACAGGAGUAUGAUUUGUUGUCACCGGAGGAACAGUCGAUUGAGAAUUGUUUAAGGACUUGUUUAAGGAAAAGUUUAUCCCUCCGGCAUUUAUCGAUGGUAGUAAGCAAGAGUUUGCAAAUGUGAAUCAAGGAAGUUGACGAUAAAUGAAUAUUAUAGAAAGUUUUCAGACUUGCCUCGUUCCAUCCAGAUAUUUGAGACAAGGUGUCUCGAGUAAAGGAAAUGUACCUUGUGCAGCAGGUACAAAAUUAACACUUUGAGAAAUGUGAAAUUAAUGAAUGUGUUUAUGUGGAUAGAGGGGACGCAGAAUUGUGAAUUGUCCCUAGAAUCAGUUGUACUCAACAAUUUUCCAUGAUAUCAUAGUGUCGAUUCAGCAGAGUUAUGGACUUAGUAGUUUGGUCGGAUUGACCGUGAGUACAGAGAGAUUUGAUGAGUUAUAUGUUCAGCCGUACAGACCAUGAGAAAUGGAUUCGACUGACACAUGAGAAAUUGGUGAGUUAUAGGUUCGGCCGUACCGACCACGCGGAGUGGAUCCGGCCGACGUAUUAUUGAGAUAAGAGUUGAAUCAGCCGUAUUGAUCAUUCUAGUUGACUUCGGCUGAUAUAUUUCUUAUUAUGUAUGUUAUAUCUUUGAGAGUGGUUGCCUACUUAUCGAGACAACGAUGAUUUAUUAGUAUUGCGGGCUGCAGACCGUAAUAUUAAUACUCAUUCGUGGAUUCGUUAAGCAAGCAACCCGGUAGAUUAUUUUAUGUUAGUAUUGUACUUAUUCAGAAUGUUCAGUAAUAAUAAAGUAUGUAUUGGGUCAGUUAAUUUUAUUCCAUUAGAUUGAUUGUUUAUAGUUGUGACUAGAUGGAAUGUUACGAGAAACCAGUUACUUUCCAUCGAGUUGAUUAAUUAGAGGUUACUUUGGUGGGGCAUACAAAGUGAAAUGAGUUCAGCCAUUAUUUAUGCUGUGAAAGCAAAGAUAUUGUUUUGAAAGGCUGCCCAAACAUACUUAGUUCAUGUGGUGCUAAAUGAUGUUGUUUGGAGUAGUGUGAAUAAUGUCGAAAGGGUUAGACUUUUCUUGAUGUCUUCCCUGAAAGUAUACCUGGAUUGCCUUCAGGCAGAGAUAUGAGAUUCACUAUUGAUUUGUUGCCAGGUAUAAAUUUAUGUUAAAGAUUGGUUCAUGAUGAGUUAAGGGAAUUGGAAAUUCAGUUGAAAGAAUUGGUUGAUAAAAGUUUUAUUCAACCUAGUACAACGCUUUGGGGGAGCCCCAGUUCGUUGGUGAGGAAGAAAAUGGAUUUUAAGACUGUUCAUUGAUUAUAGACAAUGGAGUCGGGUAACGAUUAAGAACCGUUAUCCAUGGUGAUGUACUGAUGUUUAUUUAACCAGCUCAGAAGUAAUUGCGAAGAUUCAAAGAUUGAAUUGAGAUCUGGUUACUACCAAUUGAAUAUUAUAAGUGACGUUGAUCAUAAGAUGGUUUUCUGGACUUGUUAUGGUCCUUAUGAAGUUUGGUGAUGCUAUGUGGAUACUCAUGCUGUUUUAUGAGUUGAUGGAUGAAGUAUUCCAAUAAUGCCUUGAUAAAUUGAUAUCAUUCUUAUUGAAGAUAUUCUGGCAUAUUCUGAGCCAGAGCAGAGCAUGUAAACGUAUUAAGUCGGUGAAGCAAAGAUUGAGAGAACGUUGGUUGUAUGCUAAGUAGCAAAUGCUAAAGUUAGAUGAAUCAGGUGGCAUUCUGAGAUUUGUUAUAUAUUCUUAAGGUAUUUAAGUGAAUCCUUAAAAGAUAGCAGAAAUUGAGAAUUUGGAACAACCACGAGUCGUAAUUGAGAUUUGGAAUUUCUUAACUUACCAGGCUAUCUUGGAUGGUUGUGAAAGAGUUUUAGUCAUUGCUUUGUCAUUGACGAGACUGUUGAGAAAGGAGGUUAUGUAUGAGUAGGAAGGAAAUUGUGAGUAAAGGAUUCAACAACUGAAGUAUUUCCUCACUCAUGCACGUAUUUUAGUAAUCCCAGAGAAUAGUGGUAAUCAUAAAUUUUUAGUGAUGUUUCUUGAAUGGUAUUGGAGGCAUGUUGAUGCAAAUGUUAGGGUGAUUGCAUACAUUUCACGAUAAUGGAACCUCAUGAGAUGAAUUACCCUACGGGUGACUUAGAAGUCAUGAUUACCAUUCUUGCUGUGAAGUUAUGAAGGCAUUAUAUUUGGUAAGAAUGCAAGAUUUUACGAAUCCAAAAGUCUUCAAUAUUCAUUACUUGGAAAGAUUUUGAUAUAAGGCAGCGAAAGUGAAUUGUAUUGUUAAAUGAAUAUGAUUGUACGAUCAGGGUGAUCGUGAAUUGUUGUAGCUGAUACACUUGGUGAAAAGAUUGCAGUAAGAUUAAUGUCAGGCACGCUUGCCAAGAUUAUCUUCUCGUGGAUUGAAAAUCAAUUAAAGUAAAGUUAAGAAUGAAAGAUCGAGAAGAAGUUAUACUUGUUAAUUUUCAAGUUAGGCCUGUUUGGUAAGGUCGUACUCGAAAUAUAAAUGUUUGACGAGGAAAUUUAAGAAUUAACCAAGGCAGAGAAAGAAGGGAAAAAGAAUGAGUACAUGAUUCGUGAAUCAAAUGGUAUGUGGAUACAAGAAAACAAAAAGUAUGUGCCUAAUGUUGAGGAUUUGAAGCAAGCAAAUAUUGGACGAAGUUCACUGUUCAACUUCUGCAAUAUUCCAAAAGUAAUAAGAUUUAUCAUACCAUUCGACAGUUUUAUUUGGUCAGCAGAUUGAGGCAGAAAAAGAUAAACCUUUGGAUUGAGAUAACUAUUUUCUGUUUCGCAGUGGAAAUGGAAAGAUAUUACUUUGGAUUAUGUGUACAAGUUUCCUUGUACAUAGGAUGGUUAUGAUUGAAUUUGAAGCGAUAGUUGGUCAAUGUACCAAGUUAGUACAUUUACUCCAGGGUUGAGUAACGGUACUUAUUUGUUUUAUAGAAAGAAGAAUUGGUUUACGGAACUGCUAAGUUUCUUAAGUAUGUUGGUUGCGCAGUUUCCGAAGUGAAGCCAUAAGGUUCAUGAAGUGUGUCAUGUGUGUAUUUUGUUGACUUGUGAAUGGAAUAUUUCUGGGUAGAGAAAGAUUCGAUCAAGAAAGAGUUUUUGUAAACCCUGAGACUAUGGAUGAGUCUCCUCAAAGUAUUCAGGUGAUUAAGUUAACCUGAAGAAACCAGGAAUGGCAAAAGAGAUCAACAGAUGAAUAUACCACUAAUCGAGUGUAUAACGUAGAUGAUUUUAUAUUUUUGGAAAUUUCACCAUGAAAAGAAAUAGCAAGAUUUGGAAAGGAAGACAAGAUAAGUCUUAGACACAUCAGAUCGAUUUGAUCACUAAAGGAAUCGAUGAAGUUGCAUACAAGUGGUGAUGUCUUCAGAGUUGGCUAAGGUACUUAAUGUAUUUUGGGUUCGAUACGUUGUCACUAGGUGACAAAUUCGUCACAUGAGAUCCUGAUGCAACUAUUGAGAGUUAAAUUGCAUUCGACUUGAUAAGGAACCAAGGAUGACUUUGGAUUGGAAAAAGAAGGUCCUGAGAAUUAAGACAGAGUAAGUGGUAAAAGCUUUGUGAAGGAAAUCAUUCAGUGGAAAAUUAUGUGGGAGGAAAAGAAUCGGAUGAGAGAUUUUUAACCGAAGCUAUUGUUGGAGUAUGGUUGAUUUAGUUGGUUGCUGGAAUUUCGGGGACGAAAUUCUAUAAGGAGGGAAGAUUGUCACAGCCCGUCCCGGAAUUUUAAUUCCGAGGACGUGAAAAGACCAAAAUGCCCUUAAGCGGGACUAAGGGGCGAAAAUUUAACAAUUAGAUUUAUAUUUGUAUGUGUUAAAUUGUGUUUGGACUUAGGUAGGGCCUCCUACCCUCAAAACAUUCCCUAAAACCCGUAACCUUUCCUUCUCUCUCUUUUUCUUCUUUCAUCUCAGAAAACUCUCUCUCUCUCUCUUACUCUCGAACUCACGGCAACCACCAAGAACCACCACAAUCUUGUACGAACGUUCCAUUUAAGACCACCAUCGUGAUCCUGAGGACUUCACGAGCUCGGGGAUACCAAACUCAGGUGAGUUUCACUUCGGAAAACCCUAGUUUCAGUGUCACCGUAAUAUUGCACUGUUCACGAACUUCAAAUUGGCUUUGUUUUAGGCCAAACCAAGCUCACAGUGAGCUUAAGGAAGUCCCAAGGAAGCUCGGAGUGCUUCGUUGGAAGUUUUUGGACGUAAGAACACGGAGAUCGACAAGUUCAAAGUUUGGCCGGAGCUUUCGAGGCUCUUUCCGGCGAAUCCCCGGCGAGUUAGGAGUUGAGGUAGGUAUCAAUCUCUUCGUCUCGUCAAGUACUACAACUUUCCUUUUUGUUUCACUCAAUUUCGUUGAGUAUUGAAGAAGUUAUACUCAUUUGAAAAAUACCCAGUUUCCGGCGACCUCCGAGGCUUUCGAGGCAGUUUCCGGCCAAACCACGGCGAACUAGGUGUUGUGAAAGGUACCAUUCUCUUUGUCUCUUCAAGGGCUACAACUUUCGUUUUUGAAUCACUUGAUUUCGUUGAGAAAUGACAAAGUUAUGGCAAUUUGAAAAACUGCCCAGUAAACGGCCGCCGGAAAAACCAGUCUGGCGACCCAAGGAAGAAGAUGAUGCGCGUGGGGGCGCGUGGGCCGUGCUUGUCUUGGCGCGUGGGGCGCGUGCUAAAGUAAAAAAUUAUUUUAAAAAUAUGUCGACGUCCGUGACGUCGAGUAGAUCACUGUGGUAUAUUCAUAUACCCAAUUUGAGCAAUAUAUGAGGAGUUAUUAGCUAAGAGUGGGAUUAUGCGUUAAAUAACGUCAAUUUGGUUACUUCUCGUAUAGGCGAGGAUUAUACGGACGUUGGGCAUGGCUAAGGGAGGCUCAGGGACCUUCGACACGUCGAUGUAAUCUGUGAGUGGGCAGUUUUGUAUUCCGUAUAUAUAUAUACUUGACGUUUCCCAGAAAUUGAAUUGAAAUGAAAAUAUGUUUAAAAUGAAAUGCAUAUGAGUUAUGUGGAAAAACGGGAAGUGAAAUACCAUGCAUAGAAUUGAUAUGAAAAGUAUAUAGAAAUGUGAGUUGAAAUGCCAUGCAUGAAUUAAUAUAUGAUGCAUAUGUAUGAAUUGGUGCGGUGGACGCACAGGUAAGAAUUGAUUUAUGAUGCAUAUAUAUGAAUUGGUGCGGUGGACGCACAGGUAAGAAUUGAUUUAUGAUGCAUAUGUAUGAAAUGGUGCGGUGGACGCACAGGUGAGUAUUUAUUUCUGUUAUGAUGAUGUUGAUGUAUAUUGAGCUCAAAUCCUGCACCAUAGUUUAGUGCUUAUAGUAUUCACCGCAUCGCACGCUCGUCUUGGAUCCAAGUAGAUGCUAGUCGUACAGUCCACGCGGAGUGGGUACGACAGGCCAGUCGCGAGAGUGUUAGUGAGAUUCCGACUGGUGGGUGACCUUAGAUUAUGUGCACAGAUGAUUUAUGAGAAGCACUAGAGCGUAACUUGUGUGCAGAAGGCCGUACAGGUCACGCGGAGUGACUCCGGCAGAGUGUGAGAGUGAUAGAUUUUGAGCUCUAGGUUCAACCGGGCUAAUAGAGGGCCUCCGGUUGAUUAUCUUAUUGCACCUGAUAUGAUUUAUGUUGAUGCAUUCAUACCUUAUUACUGUUGAGAUGAUGUGGCAUGGCAUAAUUUAUAUGAGAAAUGUUGAGAUGAUGUGGCAUGGCAUAAUUAUGAUGAAAAUGUUGAGUUAAUGAAUUGAAGUAUUGAGAAUAUAUAUAUGUAUAUUUAUAUUUUAUAUUUCUGGGAAAGUAUACAGGUUUUACGGAGAGGGGUUACAACGUUUUGAGAAAUGUUUGGAUUUGGAAAAGAAUUGUUUUACUGACCCACUCAAUUUUGGUUUUGCGCCCCUCCAGGUUCAGGAAUCAUAAAGGUGUGGUGACUACGAGGAAAUUGACGGUGUUCUGACAGAUUGGACAAAAUUAGGACUCACC